rnacentral:rRNA from 1 species
UACUUAGGGGGCUAGCGUUGUCCGGAUUUAUUGGGCGUAAAGAGCGUGUAGGCGGCUUGGUAGGUCCGCUGUGAAAACUCGAGGCUCAACCUCGAGAUGUCGGCGGAAACCACUUGGCUAGAGUCCGGAAGGGGAGAGUGGAAUUCCUGGUGUAGCGGUGAAAUGCGCAGAUAUCAGGAGGAACACCUAGUGCGAAGGCAGCUCGCUGGGACGUUACUGACGCUGAGACGCGAAAGCGUGGGGAGCAAACAGG